rnacentral:lncRNA from 1 species
ACUGUAGAGCAUUUGGUUAAAUAUAAAUAAGAAAUAAUUUUUCUGAAUUGAUUUUAUAAUGUUGUUUCGUAAAAACUUUUGUUCGUGGUAAAAUAUAUGUUUUUAGUAUUUUUUUAAUAAAUAAGUUGAAAUUCAAUUUCAAUUUCAAAUUUAAAUUUGCACAAAAUUUUAGAAUUUGUUUUUUUAAUAUAAAAUAAAUAUAUAAAAUAUCAAAAUUUAAAAUUUAAAUGUUGAAUUUUAAAUAUAAAUUAAAAUAUCAAAUUCUAAGCAAUUAGCUCCUACUACUAAUAUUUUGAUUACGAGAAAUAUGGCUUGUUCGAUCUAAAUUCUCAAAAUGUGACCUUUGUAUAAUGAUUUUGAUUUUUGGUCGGCUAAAUAUAAAUAAAAAAUGAAUUUUCUGAAUUGAUUUUAUAAAGCAGUUUUGUAAAACUAUUUUGUUGGUGGCAAAAUAUAUGUUUUUACUAUUUUUCAAAAAAAUAAGUUGAAAUAUGAAUUUAAAUUUAAAAUUUUAAUAUAAAUUUGCACAAAAAUUUAGAGUUCGUUAUUUUAAUAUAAAACAAAUAUUUCAAAUAUCAAAAUUCAAAAUUUAAAUGUUGAAUUAUAAAUAUAAAUUAAAAUUAAAAUUUCAAAUUUAAAAUCAAAGUUUAGAAUUUGAUAUUUUAAGUUAAAAUAAAUAUUUAAAAUAUCAAAUUUUAAAAGAUUGAAUUUUAAUUCCAAAUUAAAAUUUAAAAUCCAAAUUUAUUAAUUUAAAAUUUAAAAUUUAAAAUGUAAAAUGAAGAAUUUAAAAUUUAAAAUUAAAUUUUUAAUUUUUAAAAUUUAAAUUUAAUGUCUAAAUUCAAUUUUUAAAAUUUAAAGGUUUACUGUAUAAUUUAAAUAUUUACAAUCUAAAAGAAAAUUGUUAAUAUUUAAACUUUUAAAAUUUAAAAUUCUAAAUUAAAAUUUUAAAUUUUAAAUUUAAUUCAAAAUUUCCAUUUUAAUCCAAAUUUAAUUCAGAUUAAAGCUUUAAUAUAAAACUUAAAAUUUGUAAUUUGAAAAUGAAAACUUUUAAAUUAAAACUCAAAAUAUUAUAAUUUAAAAUUUUAAAAUUAUUAUUUUAAAUAUCAAACUUAAAUUUUAAUUUAGAUUUAAAAUU